UCCACGUCGGAGAUCUUUCUGCUAAUGUUAAAAUUGUAAUUACAUAAAUAUAAUAGAAAUAAACGAUGUAUAUAUAUAUAUAUCUUACCCGAUCUUGGAAGUAAUACGAGCUGAUAGACAUAUUGUCGUUGGUUGGCACGAGGGACGACCGAAACAAACGAGGAUACCUGUUCAGAAUCGGAAAAGCGCGCCAAGUUAAACAUUGAGAGACGAUAUCGAGCGAUAUACGUACCUACGCAGGAAAACUUGGCGCCAGACGUUCUAGGAAACGUUGUAAUUAGCUGCCGAAGACAUGGUUCCAAGCACGAUCUGUUCUUCCUGACACGAUGCUGAGCGGUUUGCGUGAGAACUUUCAGCAGUUUGGUCAUCAUCGUAUUGUCGAUCGACGUGCCGGGACAAAAUUGAAAGAAUACUGGCUGUAAACUGACAGACCAUCGUCAAUACCAUUACUGCAUAACUGAAAAUAGCAAGAGAAACAUUAUUAUUAUCUACAAUCUUUAUAAUUCACAAAACUGUAUAAAGAGGAUAUGUUCCUACUUUCUUUAUAAAGGGAUUAAUUUUAAAAAUCCUUAGACACUGAUCCUUGGACCAUGUAACGAGUUCGAAUUCGCUGUUUUCUAAAAGCAAAUAGGAAGAGUUGUAAUAAUAUGUCGCCAUUGAAAUUCGAGCACAACAUCUGUGUGGCCUACAAAUGUGUAAAUUGGUGCACUGAGAUUCGACGUGUUCCAUAGCAAAAGACUGUUUUCUCCACGACGCAGCUGUGGUACCACUAUUGUCACUAAACCUUCC